GUUUGGGAACUCCUGGCCUAGAUGCACCAGAUCCCAUCUGAUCUUGGAAGCUAAGCAGGGUCAGCCCUGGUUAGUACUUGGACAGGUACUGGUAACAAAUACCAGGUGCUGUAGGCU
rnacentral:rRNA from 1 species